rnacentral:rRNA from 1 species
UACAGAGGGGGCAAGCGUUGUUCGGAAUUACUGGGCGUAAAGGGCGCGUAGGCGGCCUUCUAAGUCGAACGUGAAAUCCCCGAGCUCAACUCGGGAACUGCGUCCGAUACUGGCAGGCUUGAAUCCGGGAGAGGGAUGCGGAAUUCCAGGUGUAGCGGUGAAAUGCGUAGAUAUCUGGAGGAACACCGGCGGCGAAGGCGGCAUCCUGGACCGGCAUUGACGCUGAGGCGCGAAAGCCAGGGGAGCAAACGGG